GUUCGUCGCGGUGAAAACAGGGGAUGGGGCGAGGUGUAGGGAGUUAUGGUGUUUUGAAUGUUUUCCGGAUGACAAACAAGUCAAUGAGGUCUCUAUGUCGAAUCGGCACCACCCGACCACAAAGUAAAUGAUGGGUGACAAAUGAGCCUUCAACCAAUUACAUAGGAGAGGCCCUCGCAUUUGUCAUUGCAUCU
ensembl:ncRNA F16H11.6 ncRNA